GAUGAACGCUGACAGAAUGCUUAACACAUGCAAGUCUUUGGCGAAGCUGUGCUUGCACAGCCUAGCCAAGGCGGACGGGUGAGUAACGCGUCAGGAACUUGCCCUGCAGUCAGGGAUAACAGACGGAAACGACUGAUAAGACCUGGUAAAGUCAGGCGGACUCAUGUCCAGCCUGAUGAAAAGAGAUGCUGCAGGAGAGCCUUGCGUCCUAUUAGCUUGUUGGUGGGGUAACGGCCCACCAAGGCGAUGAUAGGUAGCCGGCCUGAGAGGGUGGACGGCCACAAGGGGACUGAGAUACGGCCCUUACUCCUACGGGAGGCAGCGGUGGGGAAUAUUGGACAAAGGGGGCAACCCUGAUCCAGCAAUUCUGUGUGCACGAUGAAGGUUUUCGGAAUGUAAAGUGGUUUCAGCAGGGAAGAAAAAAAUGACGGUACCUGCAGAAGAAGCGACGGCUAAAUACGUG
rnacentral:rRNA from 1 species